GUACUCUCCCAGAUUCCAUAAGCGUCAGUCGUCGUUUCGUAUCGCUUGAAGAUGGAAUCUUCGCUGAAUGCCUCUCGAGUUUCAACCUAAAACCAAUAAAAAACGAAAAUGAAUAGCUUUGAUUGUAGAACUUUGAAAUUAAAAUAUUAAAUUAUAUUUGAAAAUUCCCAGAAACGCGAUGACUCUCUAGCCCCCCACUGUCUUCCUGGAAUAUAUAAUUUUUUUAAUAUUUUUUUCUGUGAAUCUUUUAAUUAAAAGCAAUUUAUGCCAAUAAAUUGAUUUGAAUUAUUUUUGUUGUGCUCCUGCUAUACAUUUCUUGUGUUUUGGGAGAAAAAAUAAUCAAAAUGGAAUAAGGACGAAGGAUGAAGGACGAAGAAGCAGGUGUCACGCAGGCACUGGACUUUGAUUUUAAAAGAAUUUAUUCGCCGGAAGAAGUGUAGGAAAAAUAAAUGAAAUCAUAAAUUAAAGAAAACAAAUCGAGAGAAAUCCUGACCAGAACCUGAAGGCUAGAUAAUUAUAAUUAAUAGUAGGGUAUUCCACAAACUGCAUACACACUUUUAACUUGUCAGAUUUUGCUUAGUUUCGUAUCAUUAAUAUUGUCCCGGGGGACCAAGGAUCAAGUUGCUGAAAGGAUAUGUGCGUGUGUGAAGGAACACGUUUACGGUUCGUGUGUUAACGAGUUGGAAAAAUUAUUAUUACAUUAUUAUUUUGUCGGCGAGUGAUUCAACGGCAAAUAGCACAAGGUGCAAGGAGCAACCACCAUUCCCCAGCACAUCCCUUUGUUUCGUCCUGUUUGUGUGUUUUUGUGUUUCUCUGUCCAUGGGCACUGGAGCUUACAAUAACAAUAAAUUUCAAUUUUUCACACACAAACACACACACACACACAUGGGCGCUUGCAUUCUCCGGUUAUCCUGCGCCCAGGACUCAUAUCCUCUUUCUGGCCAGAAACAGAACCAGAACCGGAGGAGGAGGCAACCCUUGAGCAGCUUGUGCUCAGCAAUUUAUGCGCUUUACGCGCUUUUGCUAAAUAAAUUUAUAAUGCACACAUACAUAUAUGAGUAUAGGACUUUCAGGGAUAUAGAAAAACAUAAAGAUUUUAAAGGAUAUUUCGACCCGAAAAUACUUGGCAUUUCAUAAAAUAAUCCCGAUUUUUAACGGUUUUUGAAAGGAAGAUUUCUCACAGAAAUUUUGAAUCGAAAAUUUUUUAUUCUCACAAGAUGAUUUUCUAGAUUUCUAAAAUUUAAUAAUUACAUUUAUUAAUUAUUAAUACAUUAAUAGAUAAAUACAAUAAGAUCCUCUUCAAAUUCUUGCUUGAAAAAGAAUAUUAGAAAAAAAAUACGGAAAAGAAAAUACGGUGAUGAAAGAAGAAUAUAUAAAAUUUAAAGGAGAUAAAGAAUUUAUAGAAAAGUUGAUAUUUUUAUUGUAAAAAAACUGUUAAAUUUAUUGUCAAGAAAUGUAAAAUUUAAGAAUAAUUAAUAAAACAUUAAGAAAUAUGAGAACAGAAAAAUAUAAUUCAAAAGAUAAGCCCUUUUUAAAAAGAAAUCAUUGUAUAACUAUAACUAGCUCUUGUAAUUUUUUGAUUAUCCUUUGCUGGAGUCCGUGCAUAUCCUUUUGGCAGGAUUUGUCCAGGAUAUCGCCGACAUUCUGGACAGACAAGUCGUGGAAGUUACACAGUUACAGUUGCAUGGCCACCGAAAAAACUUUAGCGAGUUUUAGAGCGUUUUGUCUUGGUUUACGGCGAUGGUGUCGUCUCUACCGUACCGUACCGUACCUCACCACAGUGAAGCCCCGAUAAUACCCCACCCCCUUGCAUGGCUGGCCGUUCAAGGAGGCAACACUGUACGUGGUACUGUGCCACUUUAGAUACAUUUGUAUCUGGGAUAAGUUUAGUGGAUGCAUGCGGUGGGGCUGUGUGCGUGAAUUACGAAAAUUUUCUUGCAAUUAAAAUUUGUUGCUUUCUGGGUAUCAUAAUUUUAUAAGUUUUUUGGGGUAGAAGCUGGGAGGAGCCAAGGGAUCUGGAUGUCUUCGUCUCGACUGGCUGAAAAUAACAAAUUGCGAAAAGCUUCCACUGCAAAUGCUAAAUACUUGUGGGUAUGCCGAGCACAUAAGGAUUUCUAUUUGUGACAUAUGGUUUUAGUUCUGAACCCAAAACGGCUUUAAACCUUACUUGAAAAUAAUCCUUAAAGGAUUAAAAUUGGUUUAAAAUAUUCCAUUAGACAGGAUAAGAAUUCUAUAUAUCUAGUAGCCUUAACCUCUUAUGAAUCUUGUUUGAGAAAAAUUAAAUUAGAGAAACCUUAGCAGUCUCUGAGAUCUAAGUAAUCUAUACACUUCUAUAGGUUCUCUGGAAAAGCCAGUUCAUUAGAUUAUUUCAUUCAUGACGGGUGUGCCCAAAAAAGUAUUAGUCUCCCAAAUUUCCUAGUCCCUCAAAAAGAAAAUAUCCCUGAAAAAAAAAACUCUUCAAAAUAAAUAGCACUAAUAUGCAGAGAUUCAUGGCCCAGGUCGUUUUUCAUGGAUUCUCCCUGGCUCUCCUCAACCUCGUAAUGGUCCAGACCAUGCGAUGUCGUGGGCGGUGGUAGUAUACCGUUCUCCCCCCUUCAUUUCUACAAUGGUAGAUAUUUUAUUUUAUUAAAAAAGUACUAUUGCGGUUGCCUGUAUCCCGAUCUCUUCAAUAUUCCUAUGAUCUAUGUCUUCUCUGUAAUAUCUCUGGCCUGGAAUGGAUAAGUUUUUAAGUUGGGCCGUUUCAAAAUUUUCAUUUCAAAAUCGGCGUUUUUCAUUAAUUGCUCACUCUUUGUUUUGAAGAAUAAAAUUUUAAACAAAAACCGAAUUUUGGUUUGCUGCAUUUUAUGAAAUUGUAAUAAGGGCCGGUGCCGGGCAUCAGAAAUGUGGUCCGAUUAGUUGCAGAUACAUACGGGUUUGAAUGGCCAUAGAGUUCCGGAGAGCGGAGUCCGGAGUCUGGAGUGCAUGGGUCGGCUUAAGAGCUUUCGGAACAGGCCACACCUGUGGCCCCUAAUGCGAACACGAAAUAAAUACACUGAGAGUAGGGACUCUCCCCUCAAUAUUUCUAAACUUGGAAUCUAAAAAUAUAAGAUCUCUUAACUCUACUUCCCUAUAAAAAUACAUCUUGAAUUGAAAUUACCUCUUUUACAUUACUUAAAAAAAGAUUAAAUUGUUGUCUGAUUAUGAAUUUUUCUCAGUGCAUUUCACACACUCGCACUGGUGGCCUUUUGUAUGCAAAUACCCCCCAUGUUAAUGCCACAAAUGCGCCUAAAAUUAUGUUAAGCACUUGCCAGCUUUGCCAGCACCAGGAAUUUGGUUGAAAGGAUGGGUAAGGCGACAGCAGCAGGAUGGUUGCUACUGCUGCUCAGUCAGGAUUCAGUAAAGGUAAAGGCAACGACAAGGACAAGGACAAGGACUAGGGUCCUGGCAUCUGGCAUCUGGCAUCCGGAAGCCGGUAGAGCGUUGAUGGCUUAGGCUCAUUUAUAAAUCGACGACAGUAAAUUAUAAAUGGAAUUACUAUUGGAACACUAGCAGGGCCCUAAGGACUUUUACCCAUGUUAUCCCUAUCCUGCAUACGGCUGUCUCUUUCCAAGGAUCUAUUGCCAUCUCUGUUGCUACUUAAAAUAUUUGGAAUAUGGUUUGUGUCUGUGUGUUUUUGGUGGAAUUAUAUCAACGCCUUUGGUGAAAUUUAGCUGUCGACUGUCUUUGGCAGAUGAAAACGAGACGGAAAGGAGCCCAAGGAUAGAGAUAGGAUACCCCCAGGCGACAGAGAAGGGAACAAACAAUGACAGGGACAGAGAUAGAGAAAGAGACACAUAAAUGUUGCAGUUUAUUAAAGUUCAAAAAGGCAACGACAGUAUGACUUAGAGAACGCAAUUCUGUCAAAAAAAAAGGACGAUGCUAAAAUAAAGGAAGAAAUAUCAGUAGUAAUAGGGUAGCGCGGGGGCGUGGCAAUCGAGGAGGGGGGCGUGGGGCAGGGGACAAGGACAAGAGCUGCCAUUUCAUGUGGGCGUUUUGGCGAAAGUUGAACAACGCCGAAAGCCUAAGGAUGACAACAUGCCCCAAAAAAAAAAGCAAAAAAAAAAGAGUAAAUGCAAGGACAAUGGAAAAAAAGUCUGGCAUGAAAAAAAAAUGAUAUCCCGAAGCCAAGAACCAGGAUCCAGGAACCAGGACAUCGGCAUGUUGGGCCAAGGCAAAAAAAACACAAACAAGUCCCUAAAUAUUAACGAUGACAGCAAUUAAGAGAAGUCCUAAAUCGCUUUCCAUCGCCAAUCCGAGUGGGAGAUGUGGAUUCCAUCGCGGAUUUGCGCUUGAAAACUGGAGAAAAAGACGAAAAGCCUCGCGAGUUGCCAUUUGGCGACUUCUCAGGCAGUAAGUCCUUCCUCCUACACACUCCCCUUGCUCCCUAGCAGUCCUCAUACGAAACGACAAGGACGAGAACGAGCAGAAGCACGAGGACAUGGUUGGAUGGCUUAGGAAGUAAUUUUAGGAUUGUAAAUCCUUUUGGAAAAUUAUAGCGACAGUCAGCUUGUAGUUAGUGGCAGCAGGCGCCGCUAAAAAGUGGGAUAGCCGAAGGAUAUACAUAUACACUCCACCAUAUGUGUACCAACACACAUAUAUAUAGAGAUGUGGGGAUGGAAACGGAGGACAGGACUAUCAUAAGAUCAGGCACACACAAAUUGUGUUAGCUGCUCCAAAAUGCACAAAAAUUGUUCAAAACACAAGCGCACACAAACAAUUUUAGAUAGAGAUGGAAAUUGCCAGAUAUAUGAUAGUCUAAGGACUAAGGAGUCAGGACUCGGAACUCGGUCCGGGCUCAAGACUGAGCAAGGACAUAACAUACAUACGCGAAAAUAUUCAUAUGACAUUUUGUAGGAACUGAAACUGAAACUGAAACAUAAGCCAAAGCCAAAGAACGUUACUUCCUUUUCCCUUCCUUUUCCAAAAAGAGACAAAGCCAGAGAUGAAACAAAAGGGUCGCAGGACGAAGGACUCUGCAAAAUGGAGCAGCUGCGGCUGCAGGAUGGCCGCCGGGUGAAAGUAGUGGGCUAACUGAGCCACAUAAAUCUAACCAAAAGUCUAGUUUUCACAAAAAAAUAACAAAAACAUAAAAAAUCAAAUAGAAACUAGUUUCACACAAAGAAAAAUCUGAAUCUAAUUUUAUCAGUAUCCCUAAAAUCAAGGAUAUAAGGAAUAUAUAACAUAAGUUACAAAAUUAAUAAUAUCUUAGUUUAGUCUAGAAAUAGUCUAGAAAUAUAUUUAAUAUUUAUAGAUACAAAAAAAUUAA